rnacentral:rRNA from 1 species
UACGGGGGGGGGCAAGCGUUGUUCGGAAUUACUGGGCGUAAAGGGCUCGUAGGCGGCCCUCUCAGUCGGAUGUGAAAUCCCCAGGCUUAACCUGGGAACGGCAUCCGAUACUGGAGGGCUUGAAUUCGGGAGAGGGAUGCAGAAUUCCAGGUGUAGCGGUGAAAUGCGUAGAUAUCUGGAGGAACACCGGUGGCGAAGGCGGCUUGCUGGGCCUUACCUGACGCUGAGACGCGAAAGCGUGGGGAGCAAACAGG